rnacentral:rRNA from 1 species
UACGUAGGGGGCCAGCGUUGUCCGGAUUCAUUGGGCGUAAAGCGCGUGUAGGCGGCCAGGUAGGUCCGAUGUGAAAUCUGGAGGCUCAACCUCCAGCGGUCAUUGGAAACCAUCUGGCUAGAGUCCGGAAGAGGAGAGUGGAAUUCCUGGUGUAGCGGUGAAAUGCGCAGAUAUCAGGAAGAACACCGAUGGCGAAGGCAGCUCUCUGGGACGGUACUGACGCUGAGACGCGAAAGCUAGGGGAGCAAACGGG